UCCAGACUCCUACGGGAGGCAGCAGUCGGGAAUAUUGCGCAAUGGGGGAAACUCUGACGCAGUGACGCCGCGUAUAGGAAGAAGGUUUUCGGAUUGUAAACUAUUGUCGUUAGGGAAGAUACAAGACAGUACCUAAGGAGGAAGCCCCGGCUAACUAUGUGCCAGCAGCCGCGGUAAUACAUAGGGGGCAAGCGUUAUCCGGAUUUAUUGGGUGUAAAGGGUGCGUAGACGGAGAAACAAGUUGGUUGUGAAAUCCCUCGGCUCAACUGAGGAACUGCAACCAAAACUAUUUCCCUUGAGUGUCGGAGAGGAAAGUGGAAUUCCUAGUGUAGCGGUGAAAUGCGUAGAUAUUAGGAAGAACACCAGUGGCGAAGGCGACUUUCUGGACGAUAACUGACGUUGAGGCACGAAAGUGUGGGGAGCAAACAGGAUUAGAUACCCUCGUA
rnacentral:rRNA from 1 species